UUUUUAAUGAAUUUUUUAAUUUGCUCUGAAACUGGGCUAAAGUCCUAUUGUACUAGAUCUAUUGUACAGCAAAUUUUUUGAAAAUUGAAAAGGAGAGAAUAUAAUUUUUCACAUGCUUUUUUGUUGUGUAGCAAGUUUUUAUGAACUUUUUUAGUUUUUAAAAAAUCUGGCCUAUUCAUGAGUACCACUUCUUGAAAGGUUACACUGUAUCCUAUACACUCUUGAUGCUGGUGGUAGUGCUUGCAGUUUGAAUGUUAAACACCUUUACUAAUUGGUACGAGAGAGGGGAACAGACAGAAAGGUGGAUUUAAGUUCCUCUGUUGAUAAAAAGUUUAAUACUAAAUGAUACAUAACAAUUAAUUCAUAGUACAUAUAGAUUAUUAAUUGCUUAUUGUGCUUAUAUUCAACAGGAAGUGACUCAUUAUUAAAACAUGUAAAGUCCAGUCUUUUUUCAGUAACUAACAAGCCUUACAAGAAUGAUGUACUUUAGAUUUCAUUGGACUUUCUUCUUUAUUUUCUCUCUCCUACUUCAAAUAAUAAAUGGGAACUGGACAACACAGAUACCAGUAACUACAGUACCACCAACUACAAGUGGACUCUCCACUGCAGGCCUCAUUGGGAUUACAGUAG